UAUUGUGCGUAUUUCAACGCAGAGAUUGAACUUUGAGGUUUCCGUGUGUAGGUAGAUUAUACGUACAUGACAGAAAAUGGCUUCCUUUCAAAUUUGUGCAAUCAAUAUUAAAUUCUUAUUUCCUUUAUAUAGCAGGAAAAAAAAGUGAAACUGGUAUUUAGUACCAAAGUGGUAUUUAUUUGUUUAUUUUAUACAAUAAUAAUUUUUUAUAUCCGACUGGGAUACAACAUCUGUAACAAAAUAAUGAAAUUAGCAAAUUCAUUUACAUAUUAUAUAUAAGUAGUCCAAUUAUUAUUAAACAACUUACAAUCCUGAUACGAUGACCCAUAGCUUUAGCUGGUAGAUUUUUCUUAAAUUUAGCACGUACUGAACCACUGGUUCCAUGUGGCCGGGUUACCUUACCCCAAAUAGCUCUAACUUUUGUUUUCCUGCUUUUC